AGUGCAAUUGCUUUAUUGAAUAGUAAGGGUAUAUUUACAUUUGUAAGAAACAGCCAAAUUAUGUUUCAAAGUAGCUGUACCAUUUUGUAUUCUCACCAGCAAU
rnacentral:pre_miRNA from 1 species